rnacentral:rRNA from 1 species
UACGGAGGGUGCGAGCGUUAUCCGGAAUUACUGGGUUUAAAGGGUGCGUAGGCGGCCUGGUAAGUCAGGGGUGAAAGUCCAGGGCUUAACCGUGGGAUUGCCUUUGAUACUGCUGGGCUUGAAUGAGGUUGAGGUGGGCGGAAUGUGGCAUGUAGCGGUGAAAUGUGUAGAUAUGCCAUAGAACACCGAUUGCGAAGGCAGCUUACUGGACCUUUAUUGACGCUGAGGCACGAAAGCGUGGGGAGCGAACAGGAUUAGAUACCCUAGUAGUCC